GACCGCUCAGGUGGCGUAAGUGGUUGGAGCGUCCGCCUUGGAUGUGGAAGGUCCCGGGUUUCAAACCCCGCUCGAGUCA